CUACCAUGGCAGUCACGGGUAACGGAGAAUUAGGGUUCGAUUCCGGAGAGGGAGCCUGAGAAACGGCUACCACAUCUACGGAAGGCAGCAGGCGCGCAAAUUGCCCAAUCCCGACACGGGGAGGCAGUGACAAGAAAUAACAACUCUAGGUUUUCUUAGAAGUGUAAUGAGGAUAAUUUACAAACCUUACCAAAUGCAAUUGGAGGGCAAGUCUGGUGCCAGCAGCCGCGGUAAUUCCAGCUCCAAUAGCGUAUAUUAAAGUUGUUGCAGUUAAAAAGCUCGUAGUUGAAAAUCUGAUUGCUCAGGUCUCCAGCCUUUAGGCGGGGAUUCUGACAGUCAUCCGCUUGCAAACAUAUGUUCGAUCUUCACUGGUUGGCUAUGUGAGUAAGCACUUUACCUUGAGAAAAACAGAGUGUUCCAGGCAGGUUUGUCCGGAAUGCAUUAGCAUGGAAUAAUAGAACAUGACUGAAGUCUAUUUAUUGGUUAAAGGCUUUAGUAAUGAUUAAUAGGAACAGUCGGGGGCAUUCGUACUCAGCAGUCAGAGGUGAAAUUCUAAGAUUUGCUGAAGACGAACUAAUGCGAAAGCAUUUGCCAAGGAUGUUUUCAUUAAUCAAGAACGAAAGUUAGGGGAUC
rnacentral:rRNA from 1 species